GACGAACGCUGGCGGCGCGCCUAACACAUGCAAGUCGAACGAGCGAGAGAGAGCUUGCUUUCUCGAGCGAGUGGCGAACGGGUGAGUAACGCGUGAGGAACCUGCCUCAAAGAGGGGGACAACAGUUGGAAACGACUGCUAAUACCGCAUAAGCCCACAGCUCGGCAUCGAGCAGAGGGAAAAGGAGUGAUCCGCUUUGAGAUGGCCUCGCGUCCGAUUAGCUGGUUGGUGAGGUAACGGCCCACCAAGGCGACGAUCGGUAGCCGGACUGAGAGGUUGAACGGCCACAUUGGGACUGAGACACGGCCCAGACUCCUACGGGAGGCAGCAGUGGGGAAUAUUGCACAAUGGGGGAAACCCCGAUGCAGCGACGCCGCGUGGAGGAAGAAGGUCUUCGGAUUGUAAACUCCUGUUGUUGAGGAAGAUAAUGACGGUACUCAACAAGGAAGUGACGGCUAACUACGUGCCAGCAGCCGCGGUAAAACGUAGGUCACAAGCGUUGUCCGGAAUUACUGGGUGUAAAGGGAGCGCAAGCGGGAAAGCAAGUUGGAAGUGAAAUCCAUGGGCUCAACCCAUGAACUGCUUUCAAAACUGUUUUUCUUGAGUAGUGCAGAGGUAGGCGGAAUUCCCGGUGUAGCGGUGGAAUGCGUAGAUAUCGGGAGGAACACCAGUGGCGAAGGCGGCCUGCUGGGCACCAACUGACGCUGAGGCUCGAAAGUGUGGGUAGCAAACAGG
rnacentral:rRNA from 1 species